UACGUAGGGGGCAAGCGUUGUCCGGAAUUAUUGGGCGUAAAGCGCGUGUAGGCGGCUCGGUAAGUCUGCUGUGAAAGUCCAAGGCUCAACCCUUGAAUGCCGGCGGAUACUGUCGGGCUAGAGUCCGGAAGAGGUGAGUGGAAUUCCUGGUGUAGCGGUGAAAUGCGCAGAUAUCAGGAGGAACACCUAUGGCGAAGGCAGCUCACUGGGACGGUACUGACGCUGAGACGCGAAAGCGUGGGGAGCAAACAGG
rnacentral:rRNA from 1 species